rnacentral:rRNA from 1 species
AACGUAGGUGGCGAGCGUUAUCCGGAUUUACUGGGCGUAAAGCGUGUGCAGGCGGGGUGAUAAGUGGUGUAUGAAAUUUCCCAGCUUAACUGGGAGGGGUUAUGCCAGACUGUCACUCUAGAGUGCGAGAGAGGAACGUGGAAUUCCUGGUGUAGCGGUGAAAUGCGCAGAUAUCAGGAGGAACACCCGUGGCGAAAGCGGCUCUCUGGGACGGUACUGACGCUGAGACGCGAAAGCGUGGGGAGCAAACAGG